ensembl:snRNA U6 U6 spliceosomal RNA
GUGCUCCCUUCGGCAGCACAUAUACUAAAAUUGGAAUGAUAUGGAGUAGAUUAGCAUGGCCCUUGCGCAAGGAUGACAUGCAAAUUUAUGAAGCAUACCUUAUUUUU